UUCUGGUUAGUUAGCAUGGCUGUUCCUCCUUCAGCUUUCAUUGCUGAGCUUUCAGUAGUUGGGGUCUCCAACAUCAGUCCUCUCCUGCUUUCUUCACUUCGAAUAAUGGCUACCACUUCAUUAAGCCCUGGGACUUUCUCUUUUCCCAAGAUUUGGAUUCGAACCUGAUCAUAUUCAGGAUUCAGGCCUACCAAGAAAUCAUAGACUCUAUCUUGUUCAAUAUACUCCUUAAGGAUUGCUGAGUCUUCUGAACAUUUUGCUUUUAUAACUCGGUAGUGAUCCAAUUCCAUCCAUAGGGACUUGAGUUGAUUGGCAUAUUCUGUAACAGAUUUGUUUCCCUGCUUAGCAGCCACGGUUUUCACUUUUACAUCAUAUAUUUGAGCAGCAUCCUUGGCCUUAGAAUAGGUUUGUUCUACUGCCUCCCAAAUUUCCUUUGCUGAUUUAAGGAACAUGCAGGUAUCACUGAUUUCUGGGACCAUUGAAUUCCACAGCCAUGCCAUGAUCAUGGAGUCUUCUUCAUCCCAUGAUUUGAACUUGGCAUCCUGUUCAUCAGGGGCCAUAUCAGUCAGGUGACUGACCUUUCCUUUUCCUUUCAGGAUGGUUCUAAUGAGUUGAGACCAUUUGAGAUAAUUUUUUCCAUUUAAUCUAUAAGCAGAAUGAACAUUCUGCAAUUCUCCAGCAGUUUGGAAUCUGUCCCCAAUAGGAUUCACGAUCUCAGUGAUCUCAGCCAUCACAGUGAUGAACAGUAGCGGCGGUGAACAGUAACCGUGAUGAACAGUGCGUGGUGAACAGUAACCGCGGUGAACAGUAGCCGCGGUGAAGGCUACACAGCAAUGAAGGCUGCGAUUAGGCCAAGGUUGUGCAGCAAUGAAGGCUGCAGCAAGGCUCAAUGUUGUGCAGCAAUGACGGCUGCAACUUAGGGUUUUCAGGCACGGUCAGAGACUCCUAAAGAUCAGGAGCUCUGAUACCAUAUCAAGUUUAGAAGGAAUAAUAUUUUCUUCUAUUUAAAUUAUGAGGUCAUUAGACCUAUAUAUACAUGAGAGCUUGCUAGUUAUUUUAGGAAAUAUGGACAACUAAUUCUAGAGAAACAAAUCCCUAUGAUUGUGGGAUUGUUUCUAAAUACAUAAUCCUAAUAUUAAUAGUAAGAUACAGCUGUGAUACAAAAUAAAAAUAUAAUAAGGAUAAAAUAUAAAACUUCCUAAACAGUUUU
rnacentral:lncRNA from 1 species